UUCCAAUCGAACCCGGAGAUAGCUGGUUCUCCCCGAAAUAGUUUUAGGACUAGCCUCGUGAUUAAGAUUAUCGGGGUAAAGCACUGAAUGGCCUAGGGGUCGAGAGAUUACCGAAGCCUAUCAAACUCUGAAUGCCGAAUAAUCAUGCACGGGAGUCAGACUGUGUGAGAUAAGUUUCAUAGUCGAAAGGGAAACAGCCCAGACCUACAGCUAAGGUCCCAAAGUACGUUUAAGUGGAAAACGAUGUGAAAUUGCGUAGACAACCAGGAUGUUGGCUUAGAAGCAGCCAUACAUUAAAAGAGUGCGUAAUAGCUCACUGGUCGAGUGACUUUGCGCGGAAAAUUUAACGGGGCUAAAACGUACACCGAAGCUUAGGCUUGCAACAAUGUUGCAGGGGUAGGGGAGCGUUGAAUGAGGGGUGAAGUCGUAGCGAAAGCGACGGUGGACUUCAUUCAAGUGAGAAUGCCGGAAUGAGUAGCGAGAAUUAUGUGAGAAUCAUAAUGGCCGAAAGCCUAAGGUUUUUGGAGGAAGGUUCGUCCGCUCCAAGUAAGUCGGAAGCUAAGGUGAGGCUGAAAAGCGUAGCCGAUGCACAAACGGUUGAAAUUCCGUUACCACAGAAAGAUUUAAACUAAGGGACACUUUUGAAGAGCUGAUGCCGGGUGUUGGUUACCCCGGUCGUAAGGGAACGAAAUUAAGUAGUGAAGUCAGCGUGGAUGAAGGCGAGAAAAGCUUAGUGUAUAUCUUAUGUGUCCGUACCGCAAACCGACACAGGUAGGUGAGGAAGAGAAUCCUAAGGCCAACGGGAGAAGGGUAGUUAAGGAACUCGGCAAAAUGUCCCCGUAACUUCGGAAUAAGGGGAGGUUUCUACGGAAACCCGCAGAGAAUAGUCCCAGGCAACUGUUUAUCAAAAACACAGCUCUAUGCUAAAUCGAAAGAUGACGUAUAUGGGGUGACGCCUGCCCGGUGCCGGAAGGUUAAGAGGAGGAGUGAGAGCCCUGAAUCGAAGCCCCGGUAAACGGCGGCCGUAACUAUAACGGUCCUAAGGUAGCGAAAUUCCUUGUCAGGUAAGUUCUGACCCGCACGAAUGGCGUAAUGAUCUGGGAGCUGUCUCAACUGCCCGCCCGGCGAAAUUGUAGUACCGGUGAAGAUGCCGGUUACCCGCGACUAGACGGAAAGACCCCAUGGAGCUUUACUGUAGCUUAAUAUUGGAUUUCGGCAUUUCAUGUACAGGAUAGGUGGGAGACUAGGAAACAUAGGCGUCAGCUUAUGUGGAGUCGUCCUUGGGAUACCACUCUUGGAGUGCUGAAAUUCUAACCUGCAGCCCUGAAUCGGGUUGGGGGACAUUGUUAGGUGGGCAGUUUGACUGGGGCGGUCGC
rnacentral:rRNA from 1 species